rnacentral:lncRNA from 1 species
UGUAGGGUGCUGCUCCCUUCUCUCGGUGGUGGCCGGCAGUGGAGACGGGCCCGAGGGGAGAGGAGCAUGUGGUGGAGCUCCGGCCGUGUUCCUCAACUACUAAUUGGAUCCCACGCGCGCGGGUGGUUCUUGUGGCUCGCGAAGCCUUCGGCGGCGAUGGUGCUCCUUUUGGAUUUAUUUUGGUGCUAGGCGUGCUUUGGUUGCCCCGCGUGCGUUUGUCUGUAGUUGCGUGUGUGCUUGGCUCGUGUGCAUGCGUGUGUGUGUGGUGCAUGCGUGCGUGCUGAUUGAAAGUACAACCCUAUUACACUGAUUGUUUGCUACUGCCACUAAUUGCUAUGCCGAUGCUACUAAUUUUGCUGCUCCUUGGUUCCUAUACAGUAGACACUUGCUACCGCCGUUGGUUGCUAUUGCUGCUGCCGCUGAUUGCUAUUACUGUUGCUGCUGAUUUUCCUACUCCUUAGUACAUAUACAGUAGAUAGAAGAUAAUAUGCAUUCCCAAAUAAAAAAUAUAGAAGAUCUGUAUGUUUUAAAAUUCUUGCAAAUUGAACCAACUACUUUUUAUCUCUUCUCUAAUCUUUCUCUCGAUCAGAUUCUCUUUUAUGCUCUCCAUUGCAAAAAAUUACUCAAUAUGUAUAAUAAAAAUCACGGAACCUUGUAGCUCCUUUAUGAUUCCAUUAUCCCUUGUCCUUGCAAUUGUUAGUAUUAUUUGUUCCGCCUAUAUCUUAUCAUGUGAUUUUUUUCCCUUGCAAUUUUUGUGCCUGCAAGAUGUCAGCUAACUGUCUUUCGGUAUCUAAACAGAUGCAGUAACUAUGAUGUUGGUAUGAAACUAUCCUACAGGUCAGGUUUCGAACUGUUAACAAUAGAUGUGCAGAUCGGUAGAUUGUGUUAAAAUCAUUAACUUGCCCGGCUUGAUUGUGUAAGGGAUUAACUUGCUUUAAUGGCAUGCAGUUUCAGGGGUAGAUGGAAAUGUACAGCUUAUGGCAUAAUCGCAGAAAGUCAGGCAACCCAUUCGCUUACUUGAUAAACCCUCCCCUGGUUCAGGCCACUAAGGUGCCCAUUUCCUUAUCUCCUCCUCAUGACGUAACAUUCUUAUUUAUUCCAUAUCCUUAAUUUUUAUACUAACUGGUCCUAUGAAUCUUUGUUAGUUAAGUGUGCCAAUAUAUGUCUAUUUUUUCCGGUCUUAACGACAUGACAAAUGAUACAUGAUUAGGGAGCUGAGUUGUGACCAAAGAUCAAAUCCUCUUGGAUAUAUGAUAUUCUACAUUGGCAGCAAAGGCACAUGGGUAGUGUUUCCUAAAACUGGGUGAGUACUGACAUAAAAUUGUUCAUCCAUUACUUAGGUUUGCUUUUAUUCAGAUUGUUCAGCCAUUACAUAGGUAGUCCCUAAUGCAUUUUCUUAAAUGUAUAUUCAACUUAGUGCUAGGUUGGUCUUGAAGAAUUAAAUAGUGCUGCAUCAAAUUAUUUUUAUUACCCUGUAAACUCCUUGGAUCCUACCUUCUCUAGAAACAAAAAUCCACUACUUUUUCCUAGAGAAGCCCAAAUCUAAAGAAGUGUUUCUUUUCCAUGUUGUUUUUUCUACUGGUUGUAAGAGUAUUAUUCUUGAUUGAGAAAUUAUAAUGUGAUAUUUUAGUUCUCAGGUAACUACAAAGUUUUGUGUGAUGUAGAUUAGUUAAUGAUUUUGAGCUAUUGGCAUUGAGUUCCUUUCUCCUAAUACAUCAUACCAAGCAUGAGCAGGACGUGAGUAAUGGUGACACUAAACUAGUUAAUGUUGAGACCUUUGGACAACGGAAAUAUCCAAUUUUGUGUAGUCGAUAAUAUUGCGCACCUACUCAUCAUUUAGUUGGUUGCUGAAUUCAUCUCAUUGUUGAUAUAAUAUAAUGUCUGGAUAAUUGUUAGUAGUGAAUACAUGCUGCUGGUUGUUCGUAGGGAACAAGCACACGCAAUUGGCAAAGAUAAUCAGUCUUUUAACAUGUCCUCCUACUAAGUUAUUUGUCAAAUAUACAUAAGAUUAUGUCUUUCUCCCAACAAUAUUUUCAUGCACACUUUGUAAUUUUUAUGUGGAUCCUUUUAGGUACAAUGCAUAGUAUGUAUAUUUUUAAACUUCAUUUCGAAUUUACGCCAAAAUAGUAUUAUGAUUUUUCUUUGUAGGUUGAGAAUUUCAAUACAAGAUGAUUACUUGGAUCUUGGAGAACGUAUGAUGAUUCUUGGUACUUGGAGGAGAAACAAGACAGUUCUUUGAAUGUUUAGAAAUUCGAUAUUUUCUUUUAUUUUGUUUUCUAAGGAAGUGAUGUACCCCUAGUAGAUGAUACUUCCAUUGUACGUAAUGUAACAGAUGGCUCCAUUGAAUAAAUAUAUCAUUUUCAUUUCUACUCUAUCGAAUUUUGCUAAAGUUCUACCUUGUACUACCAUUCAAACUACCUACUGUUACAAAUGAUUAUAUAUGGAGGUUUCUAUUUUGCAAGCACAAACAAUGUUAUAAAUGAUUAUAUAUGGAGGUUAUUCUAUUUUGCAAGCACCAACGCAUAGAAGCGUUGCAUGAAUCCGUUGUUGCUUUGCAACACAUUAUUUCCUCGAUUACCAACGGAUCUAUAUACGUUGUAGUAGACCCUUGCAACGCCACCAACGGCAACACAUAUGAAUCCAUUGAUGUAGACCUUAGCAACGCUAAUACAGAC